GACGAACGCUGGCGGCGUGCUUAACACAUGCAAGUCGAACGGAAAGGCCCUGCUUGCAGGGUACUCGAGUGGCGAACGGGUGAGUAACACGUGGGUGAUCUGCCCUGCACUUCGGGAUAAGCCUGGGAAACUGGGUCUAAUACCGGAUAGGAGCCAUUUUUAGUGUGAUGGUUGGAAAGUUUUUUCGGUGUAGGAUGAGCUCGCGGCCUAUCAGCUUGUUGGUGGGGUAAUGGCCUACCAAGGCGGCGACGGGUAGCCGGCCUGAGAGGGUGGACGGCCACAUUGGGACUGAGAUACGGCCCAGACUCCGACGGGAGGCAGCAGUGGGGAAUAUUGCACAAUGGGCGCAAGCCUGAUGCAGCGACGCCGCGUGGGGGAUGACGGCCUUCGGGUUGAAAACUCCUUUCGCUAGGGACGAAGCUUUUUGUGACGGUACCUAGAGAAGAAGCACCGGCUAACUACGUG
rnacentral:rRNA from 1 species